UACGUAGGGGGCAAGCGUUGUCCGGAUUUAUUGGGCGUAAAGCGCGUGUAGGCGGCUAGGUAGGUCCGCUGUGAAAACUUGAGGCUCAACCUCAAGAGGUCGGUGGAAACCAUCUAGCUAGAGUCCGGAAGAGGAGAAUGGAAUUCCUGGUGUAGCGGUGAAAUGCGCAGAUAUCAGGAAGAACACCCGUGGCGAAGGCGGUUCUCUGGGACGGUACUGACGCUGAGACGCGAAAGCGUGGGGAGCAAACAGG
rnacentral:rRNA from 1 species